rnacentral:rRNA from 1 species
AAAAGUGAAAGACGGUCUUGCUGUCACUUAUAGAUGGAUCCGCGCUGCAUUAGCUAGUUGGUAAGGUAACGGCUUACCAAGGCAACGAUGCAUAGCCGACCUGAGAGGGUGAUCGGCCACACUGGAACUGAGACACGGUCCAGACUCCUACGGGAGGCAGCAGUAGGGAAUCUUCCGCAAUGGGCGAAAGCCUGACGGAGCAACGCCGCGUGAGUGAUGAAGGUCUUCGGAUCGUAAAACUCUGUUAUUAGGGAAGAACAUAUGUGUAAGUAACUGUGCACAUCUUGACGGUACCUAAUCAGAAAGCCACGGCUAACUACGUGCCAGCAGCCGCGGUAAUACGUAGGUGGCAAGCGUUAUCCGGAAUUAUUGGGCGUAAAGCGCGCGUAGGCGGUUUUUUAAGUCUGAUGUGAAAGCCCACGGCUCAACCGUGGAGGGUCAUUGGAAACUGGAAAACUUGAGUGCAGAAGAGGAAAGUGGAAUUCCAUGUGUAGCGGUGAAAUGCGCAGAGAUAUGGAGGAACACCA